rnacentral:rRNA from 1 species
CCCAUGUCGUGGGGGAUAACGUAGCGAAAGCUACGCUAAUACCGCAUACGCCCUGAGGGGGAAAGCGGGGGAUUCUUCGGAACCUCGUGCGAUUGGAGCGGCCGAUGUCGGAUUAGCUAGUUGGUGGGGUAAAGGCCCACCAAGGCGACGACCCGUAGCGGGUCUGAGAGGAUGAUCCGCCACACUGGGACUGAGACACGGCCCAGACUCCUACGGGAGGCAGCAGUGGGGAAUUUUGGACAAUGGGGGCAACCCUGAUCCAGCCAUGCCGCGUGAGUGAAGAAGGCCUUCGGGUUGUAAAGCUCUUUCGGCCGGGAAGAAAUCGUGGUCUCUAACAUAGGCCAUGGAUGACGGUACCGGACUAAGAAGCACCGGCUAACUACGUGCCAGCAGCCGCGGUAAUACGUAGGGUGCG